rnacentral:rRNA from 1 species
GACGAACGCUGGCGGCGUGCUUAACACAUGCAAGUCGAACGAUGAAGUUCCUUCGGGAAUGGAUUAGUGGCGAACGGGUGAGGAACACGUGAGAAACCUGCCUUUCAUUUUGGGAUAACUCCGGGAAACCGGGGCUAAAACCGAAUACUCCGUCUCGGCGGCAUCGCUGAGCCGGGAAAAAAUUUUGAUGAAAGAUGGUCUCGCGGCCUAUCAGCUAGUUGGUGAGGUAAUGGCUCACCAAGGCAACGACGGGUAGCCGGCCUGAGAGGGCGACCGGCCACACUGGGACUGAGACACGGCCCAGACUCCUACGGGAGGCAGCAGUGGGGAAUAUUGGGCAAUGGGCGCAAGCCUGACCCAGCGACGCCGCGUGAGGGAUGAAGGCCUUCGGGUUGUAAACCUCUUUCAGUAGGGAAGAAGCGAAAGUGACGGUACCUAAAGAAGAAGCACCGGCUAACUAUGUGCCAGCAGCCGCAGUAAAAC